rnacentral:rRNA from 1 species
AUGCACGCUGGCGGCGUGCCUAAUACAUGCAAGUCGAGCGAACAGACGAGGAGCUUGCUCCUCUGACGUUAGCGGCGGACGGGUGAGUAACACGUGGAUAACCUACCUAUAAGACUGGGAUAACUUCGGGAAACCGGAGCUAAUACCGGAUAAUAUAUUGAACCGCAUGGUUCAAUAGUGAAAGACGGUUUUGCUGUCACUUAUAGAUGGAUCCGCGCCGCAUUAGCUAGUUGGUAAGGUAACGGCUUACCAAGGCAACGAUGCGUAGCCGACCUGAGAGGGUGAUCGGCCACACUGGAACUGAGACACGGUCCAGACUCCUACGGGAGGCAGCAGUAGGGAAUCUUCCGCAAUGGGCGAAAGCCUGACGGAGCAACGCCGCGUGAGUGAUGAAGGUCUUCGGAUCGUAAAACUCUGUUAUUAGGGAAGAACAAAUGUGUAAGUAACUAUGCACGUCUUGACGGUACCUAAUCAGAAAGCCACGGCUAGCUACGUG